GUAUCUUAUCGCUUGUUUUUAGACGUUUGAUUCUACUCCUGUGAUACGCAUUUCUUUCACGUUGUAUUUGACAGCACAGCGAUAUGUAUAUCUUAUUAUAUUCAUGGUGAACGUUUUCUUUCAAACACAAUCAUUCCCUGUGUGCAAGACUGUUACUGCAGACUGUAACUACAUACUGUCUGCAAGACUGUUCCCUCCCCAUCAGAACAGCACUGCACACUGUCAAUUCACCAUCAGCAAAGCAAUAUCAUCACUCCCACGCCUUGAAAACACUUAAUAUGUAAAUGUGUGAAAUAAACAACUGGUAUAAUUGUCUGAUCAAAACUAAAGGAACUGAUGACUUGAUAAAAGUCAAGUAGAGAACAAAGAUGUUUGCGUCUGUUUAAAAAAAAAACACACGUCAAGGAUGAACAGCUAAUUUAGUAGAGGAAUCACAUGUUUUAUUGGACAUGAUGAUGAUGAUGAUGCUAUUUUAGACUGUCUGAGUCAUUCACUCCAGAGGUAGAUCUUUGUUGUGAUGAGAUGUUCAACUCUCUGCUGUAUGGAUCAUUCACUCCAGAGGUAGAUCUUUGUUGUGAUGAGAUGUUCAACUCUCUGCUGUAUGGAUCGUUCACUGCAGAGGUAGAUCUUUGUUGUGAUGAGAUGUUCAACUCUCUGCUGUAAGGAUCGUUCACUCCAGAGGUAGAUCUUUGUUGUGAUGAGAUGUUCAACUCUCUGCUGUAUGGAUCGUUCACUCCAGAGGUAGAUCUUUGUUGUGAUGAGAUGUUCAACUCUCUGCUGUAUGGAUCGUUCACUCCAGAGGUAGAUCUUUGUUGUGAUGAGAUGUUCAACUCUCUGCUGUAUGGAUCGUUCACUCCAGAGGUAGAUCUUUGUUGUGAUGAGAUGUUCAACUCUCUGCUGUAUGGAUCGUUCACUGCAGAGGUAGAUCUUUGUUGUGAUGAGAUGUUCAACUCUCUGCUGUAUGGAUCGUUCACUGCAGAGGUAGAUCUUUGUUGUGAUGAGAUGUUCAACUCUCUGCUGUAUGGAUCGUUCACUCCAGACGUAGAUCUUUGUUGUGAUGAGAUAUUCAACUCUCUGCUGUAUGGAUCGUUCCCUGCAGACGUAGAUCUUUGUUGUGAUGAGAUGUUCAACUCUCUGCUGUAUGGAUCGUUCCCUGCAGACGUAGAUCUUUGUUGUGAUGAGAUGUUCAACUCUCUGCUGUAAAGGGCCUCAGCUCCUACUGGUGUUUAUAAGGCUCCUGUCACGGACGACCGCUUCACCUUCUAUUUACUUGAUGUGGAUGUUACUGGUUGUUUUACUGUGUUAUGUUACAUGUAGUGUUUUAACACCACUCUGAACCACACACUGAGUCGCCUGGUUUCUGCUCUUAACAACGGUCAUUGUUGUCAUUGUCAAGCUAAACGUAAAGUAAAAAAGCACAAACAGACUGUGGACUCAGGCUAGAAUCUGAGGGCCCGCUACAGAGCAGUCUGUAUCUGUAAGGGUUGAAUCCUAGAAUCUGAGGGCCCGCUACAGAGCAGUCUGUAUCUGUAAGGGUUGAAUCCUAGAAUCUGAGGGCCCGCUACAGAGCAGUCUGUAUCUGUAAGGGUUGAAUCCUAGAAUCUGAGGGCCUGCUACAGAGCAGUCUGGAUCUGUAAGGGUUGAAUCCUAGAAUCUGAGGGCCCGCUACAGAGCAGUCUGUAUCUGUAAGGCUUGAAUCCUAGAAUCUGAGGGCCCGCUACAGAGCAGUCUGUAUCUGUAAGGGUUGAAUCCUAGAAUCUGAGGGCCUGCUACAGAGCAGUCUGUAUCUGUAAGGGUUGAAUCCUAGAAUCUGAGGGCCCGCUACAGAGCAGUCUGUAUCUGUAAGGGUUGAAUCCUAGAAUCUGAGGGCCCGCUACAGAGCAGUCUGUAUCUGUAAGGGUUGAAUCCUAGAAUCUGAGGGCCCGCUACAGAGCAGUCUGUAUCUGUAAGGGUUGAAUCCUAGAAUCUGAGGGCCCGCUACAGAGCAGUCUGUAUCUGUAAGGGUUGAAUCCUAGAAUCUGAGGGCCCGCUACAGAGCAGUCUGUAUCUGUAAGGGUUGAAUCCUAGAAUCUGAGGGCCUGCUACAGAGCAGUCUGUAUCUGUAAGGGUUGAAUCCUAGAAUCUGAGGGCCCGCUACAGAGCAGUCUGUAUCUGUAAGGGUUGAAUCCUAGAAUCUGAGGGCCCGCUACAGAGCAGUCUGGAUCUGUAAGGGUUGAAUCCUAGAAUCUGAGGGCCCGCUACAGAGCAGUCUGUAUCUGUAAGGGUUGAAUCCUAGAAUCUGAGGGCCCGCUACAGAGCAGUCUGUAUCUGUAAGGGUUGAAUCCUAGAAUCUGAGGGCCUGCUACAGAGCAGUCUGUAUCUGUAAGGGUUGAAUCCUAGAAUCUGAGGGCCCGCUACAGAGCAGUCUAUAUCUGUAAGGGUUGAAUCCUAGAAUCUGAGGGCCCGCUACAGAGCAGUCUGUAUCUGUAAGGGUUGAAUCCUAGAAUCUGAGGGCCCGCUACAGAGCAGUCUGUAUCUGUAAGGGUUGAAUCCUAGAAUCUGAGGGCCCGCUACAGAGCAGUCUGUAUCUGUAAGGGUUGAAUCCUAGAAUCUGAGGGCCUGCUACAGAGCAGUCUGUAUCUAAGGGUUGAAUCCUAGAAUAUGAGGGCCCGCUACAGAGCAGUCCGGAUCUGUAAGGGUUGAAUCCUAGAAUCUGAGGGCCCGCUACAGAGCAGUCUGGAUCUGUAAGGCUUGAAUCCCGGUCAGUCUCUGUUCUGAUGUCACUGAUGUAAUCACAUUAUCAAUAUUCACUGAAAUAAAAAACUGAAAUCACA